GAACUGCGAAUGGCUCAUUACACCAGCCUUAAUUUACUUGACCUUGACACCCUACUUGGAUAACUGUGGUAAUUCUAGAGCUAAUACAUGCACCAAAGCUCCAAUCUCCCCAGAGCGGAGCGCAUUUGUUCGCCACAAAACCAAGCGCCUCAGGGCGUUCAGUGUUGACUCAGAACAACUAAGCUGAUCGCACGGUCUUGCACCGGCGACGUGUCUUUCAAGUGUCUGCCUUAUCAACUUUCGAUGGUAGUGUAUCUGACUACCAUGGUGAUGACGGGUAACGGAGGAUAAGGGUUCGACUCCGGAGAAGGGGCCUGAGAAAUGGCCACUACGUCUAAGGAUGGCAGCAGGCGCGCAAAUUACCCGCUCUCGACGCGAGGAGGUAGUGACGAGAAAUAACGAGACCGUUCUCAUCUGAGGCCGGUCAUCGGAAUGGGUACAAUUUAAACCCUUUAACGAGUAUCUAUGAGAGGGCAAGUCUGGUGCCAGCAGCCGCGGUAAUUCCAGCUCUCAAAAUGCAUAGAAUUAUUGCUGCGGCUAAAAAGCUCGUAGUUGGAUCUGUGCUGAGCGACCGGUCUGCCCACUGGGCACGCACUGGCUCGCCCGGCUUUCCCUGCCGGUCUCUCUCUGACGUUGGUUUUAACCGGCUGGCGUCAGUGGGCUGGCGAGUUUACUUUGAACAAAUCAGAGUGCUUCAAACAGGCGUCUCGCCUGAAUGUUCGUGCAUGGAAUAAUAGAAGAGGAUCACGGUCCGAUUUUAUUGGUUUUGCUGACCGAGAUAAUGGUUAACAGAGACAAACGGGGCCAUUCGUAUUGCUACGUGAGAGGUGAAAUUCUUGGACCGUAGCAAGACGGACUACAGCGAAAGCAUUUGGCAAGAAUGUCUUCAUUAAUCAAGAACGAAAGUCAGAGGUUCGAAGGCGAUCAGAUACCGCCCUAGUUCUGACCGUAAACGAUGCCAACUAGCGAUCCGCCGGCGGAUUCAUUCGCCCUGGUGGGGAGCUUCCCGGAAACGAAAGUCUUCCGGUUCCGGGGGAAGUAUGGUUGCAAAGCUGAAACUUAAAGGAAUUGACGGAAGGGCACCACCAGGAGUGGAGCCUGCGGCUUAAUUUGACUCAACACGGGGAAACUCACCCGGCCCGGACACCGUAAGGAUUGACAGAUUGAUAGCUUUUUCAUGAUUCGGUGGAUGGUGGUGCAUGGCCGUUCUUAGUUCGUGGAGCGAUUUGUCUGGUUUAUUCCGAUAACGAGCGAGACUCUGGCCUACUAAAUAGUUGGCACAUUGCCACUGUGUGCACAACUUCUUAGAGGGAUUUUCGGUGUUCAGCCGCACGAAAUUGAGCAAUAACAGGUCUGUGAUGCCCUUAGAUGUCCGGGGCUGCACGCGCGCUACACUGGCAAAAUCAGCGUGCUUGUCCUCCCCCGAAAGGGGUUGGUAAACCGAUGAAAAUUUGCCGUGAUUGGGAUCGGACAUUGCAAUUAUUGUCCGUGAACGAGGAAUCCCUUGUAAGGGCGAGUCAUCAACUCGUCCUGAAUACGUCCCUGCCCUUUGUACACACCGCCCGUCGCUGCCCGGGACUGAGCCAUUUCGAGAAAACCGGGGAUUGUUGGCCUGACGGCUCUCGGGUCGUCUAGCCGAUGAGAACCGGCUUAAUCGCACUGGUUUGAACCGGGCAAAAGUCGUAACAAGGUAGCUGUAGGUGAACCUGCAGCUGAUCA
rnacentral:rRNA from 1 species